rnacentral:lncRNA from 1 species
CUUCCCACCGUUAGGGAAAGAUAAGAACCUCAACAUUUCUAAAGAACGAAACGAACUGUUGUGAACGAAUUUCAUUUUAUCUCAUUUAGAUCUCCCUACCUACUAAGAUUCAUAUAGCCGAUCCCACUCAGUGACUUGGAUUUUCCAAGUCUCCAACCGAGAAGUUUUCCUCACUCAGGAAAUUAAGGGAACACUACCCCAACCUACAUGCUCCACUCAGAAAGCUUCAACAUACAAGCUUCAACAAAAGAAAAUUCAAAGAACUUAGCGAAGAAGGCUUUGGUGUAUUUAACACAAUACGUUGAAAUAAAGGAAAACUUAUUUAUUGAUAUCCCCGAUAAGCUACAAAUAUGUACAUAUACAUGAGUCAAAAUAACACACAAGAGGGAGCCUUCACAAAGGUUGCUUAGGAGAAGUCUCAGCAGUCGGUAGAGCCCCAGAAAGAGAAGGCACCAGAGGGGGAUCAUUUGGAGCCUCAGUACUGGACAGAACCCUAGAAGGAGGAGGUAUCAGAGGUUGAUCAUUUGGAGCUUCAUUAUGCGGUACAGCCCCAGAAGACGAAGGCAAUAAAUGCCUUUGGAACAAACCCACAAAUCUCUAAUGAUCAAGUAAAACCUGACCAUCAGUUUCCUUCAUCUGGUCAAGCUUCCUCUUCAUGUUUGUAGCAUAGUCAUGUGCGAGCCGUGCAACUGUUUAUUCUCAUGCUUGAGCCCUCUAAUCUCCUGUUUGAGACUCAUCACUUCAGCCGCCAAUGAUUCAACUUGGCGGGUUCGAGCAAAUAGGCGUUGGGCCAUAUUAGACACAGAACCUGCACACUGAACACUGAGAGCCAGCGAAUCCUUAACAGCUAACUCAUCAGACCGUUUGGAAAGUAGUCUGUUAUCUUUGGGAGUGAGAAGGUUCCUGGCCACCACCGCAGCGGUCAUAUCAUUCUUUAUCACGGAAUCCCCAACGCUAAGAGGACCAGUAGGGGAGACGAAGGAUGGGCGCCAUAUGUUGUCUGGAGAAGGCGGGGCUGCCUCUUCAACAAGGUUCAAGUCAAAACGACGGUCGGAGGGGCCAGACAUUUUCAAAGGUGUUGAAGAGAGAAGAGGUCGGACAAAUCAAGAUCUUAGAAGUGCAAGAAUGAAGCUUCUACUGGUGGAGAUUCAAGUGUGCUUUGGAACUUAAUGCCAGCCCUAUAAAAAUCUGCACUCGACGGAGCUUCAGCUUCAAAUCGAAGAGGCGCCUGCUCAGAAAUCGAAGAGGCGUUUGCUUUCUCAAAAGCUGGGCUGCUUAGAGAUCACGAGGGUUGAUCUCAGAAAUCGAAGAGGCGUUUGCUUUCUCAAAAGUUGGGCUGCUUAAAGACCACGAAGGCCGAUCUCAGAAAUCGAAGAGGCGCUCGCUUUCUCAAAAGCUGGGCUCCCCAGAGACCACGAGGGCUGAUCUCAGAAAUCGAAGAGGCACCUACUUUUCCAGCCUUGUCAGCACCUGUCACACGCACACUCAGCUUUGCGGAAAUUAUGGGCAUUCUGUCGAAGACUUCUGGGGAAGUAGAAAACACAUGAAUCUUACUGUUCAAUCACCCACUUCCCACACGCAACAAUAGCUCAUGGGUACCACAGAUAACUUUGCCAAAGUUCUCUGCCAAAGUUGAGCACGUGAAGUUUGCAGCUCCCACUACAUCGCUCUGACCAAGAAGGGUAAAAGAAUAGCAAAGAAACAGCACUAACAAAGUUUAGAGCCAUAAAUUUUGAAGGUCUAGCUACCAUAUUAUUACCCACAAGGGUAAAAGAACAGUACCAUUGCUGGAUAAUUGGAAAGUCCCUGCGUGUCAACCUCUGUGCUUCGUGGCAAGGUAGACUAGCAAACAUGCCCAACCUUUACUCACAUUCGAGAAAACACUCCCAAUAAGAUUGCUUGCUCCAAAAUCGAAGAGGCACCGUCCUCCGAAUCUCGAGAGCCAGACUCCCAACAUGACUACUUUCUUAAAAAUCGAAGAGAGGGUAAAGGAACAGUACCAUUGCUGGAUAAUUGGAAAGUCCCUGUGUGUCAACCUCUGUGCUUCGUGGCAAGGUAGACUAGCAAACAUGCCCAACCUUUACUCACAUUCGAGAAAACACUCCCAACAAGAUUGCUUGCUCCAAAAUCGAAGAGGCACCGUCCUCCGAAUCUCGAGAGCCAGACUCCCAACAUGAUUACUUUCUCAAAAAUCGAAGAGACACUGCUCCCCGAAUCUCGAGAGCCAGACCCCCAGCAUGAUUGCUUUAUCAAAAAUCGAUGAGGCAUCGUUCUCCGAAUCAAUCGAAGAGACGCUCGCUUUCUCAAAAGCUGGGCUGCUCAGAGACCAAGAGGGCCGAUCUCAGAAAUCGAAGAGGCACCUACUUUUCUAGCCUUGUCAGCACCUGUCACACGCACACUCAGCUUUGCAGAAAAUUAUGGGCAUUCUGUCGAAGACUUCUGGUGAAGUAGAAAGCACAUGAAUCUUACUGUUCAAUCACCCACUUCCCACACGCAACAAUAGCUCAUGGGUACCACAGAUAACUUUGCCAAAGUUCUCUGCCAAAGUUGAGCACGUGAAGCUUGCAGCUCCCACUACAUCGCUCUGACUAAGAAAGGUAAAAGAAUAGCAAAAGAGAACAGCACUAACAAAGUUUAGACACAUAAAUUUUGAAGGUCUAGCUACCAUAUUAUUACCCACAAGGGUAAAGGAACAGUACCAUUGCUGGAUAAUUGGAAAGUCCCUGUGUGUCAACCUCUGUGCUUCGUGGCAAGGUAGACUAGCAAACAUGCCCAACCUUUACUCACAUUCGAGAAAACACUCCCAACAAGAUUGCUUGCUCCAAAAUCGAAGAGGCACCGUCCUCCGAAUCUCGAGAGCCAGACUCCCAACAUGACUACUUUCUCAAAAUCGAAGAGAGGGUAAAGGAACAGUACCAUUGCUGGAUAAUUGGAAAGUCCCUGUGUGUCAACCUUUGUGCUUCGUGGCAAGGUAGACUAGCAAACAUGCCCAACCUUUACUCACAUUCGAGACAACACUCCCAACAAGAUUGCUUGCUCCAAAAUCGAAGAGGCACCACCGCCUUCCGAAUCUCGAGAGCCAGACUCCCAACAUGAUUACUUCCUCAAAAAUCGAAGAGACACUGCUCUCCGAAUCUCGAGAGCCAGACCCCCAGCAUGAUUGCUUUCUCAAAAAUCGAAGAGGCAUCGUUCUCCGAAUCUCGAGAGCCAGAUACCACAGACCACUUUUUCAAAAGUGCUCUGACAGAGUUAAAACAUGUGAAACUGGCAGCUCCCACUACUGUGCUAUGACCAAGCAGGGUAAAGGAAUAGCAUUACUACUUGUUGUUAGGGAGACUCCUAUAUAUGUCGACCUUCAUCCCCAACGGACAGGCAGACCUGCAAAAAUGCUCAACCCUUCAUCAUAUCUGAGAGGGCACUCCCAACGAAGCCUUUCGAAAUAUUCAGCUUUCUUUCCCCCCGAUAAUACCUCUGCAAACAAGCUAUACUAGAGCAAGAAUAUCUCAUAUCAUCAGGGUUAAAAGCAAGAGUAUCCCAUAUCAUGCUUUUUUUCCCUGUCUUUUCCUUUGGCCUUGUUUUUACCUGCAAGACAAGGAGAAAGAGAGCAAUCAGUCAGCACUUGGAAUCAAGCUUCCAGCCAGGAACUGACUGCUUGGAACCCCUUACCUGAUUACUUACCUGGCAUUGCUCUCGAGUACUCAUCUUCAACAUCUUAUGUUUCCAAGGAAGAUUCCGCAUCUGCUUGAGGAACAGAUAGGGCAAGUGCGAAGGAUACAAGGAAGCAUGUGGAGACAAGCGUAACAGCACACGUGCCGAUACAUCCAUUACUCUGUCAAAAGCAAAAGUAUCCCAUAUCAGCAGGGUGGAACGUACUCUAGAUUUGAUGGACUUGUUUUGACCCUCAAAUUCUUCAGUCGGCCUUAUACUCUGGAGGAAACCAGACAACCCUCCAGCUCAGUUCAAGAAUAAGCCUGUGGAAAGUUACUUCUUCAAAAGCAAAAGUAUCUCAUAUCAUCUCUUCUCAUUUUUCUUCUCUUUAUCCUUCAUGCUGCUGCAAGAUGAGGAGAAGGUGAACAAUCAGUCGGAGCUCUGAUUGCUUACCUUGUCUGUCACCUCUUUCAGCAGACCCCCUAGCUCGGCGACUUGGGGGACUCCUACUACAUGGUUUGUAUCGCGCUUGACCAAGCCUGAAACUACAAGUAAGCUUCAAGUGAAAUUGAUACAUUACCUUGUGCAUCUCCACCAGUUAAAGAUACCACCCCUGGAUGGAGGAAGAGUACUUCCAGAGAAGAUGCCACAUCUACCUAUGAGACAGAUAAGGCAAGUCAAGACGACACCACACUCCGAUACUUAGAAGUUUCGUGAUUACGAGAGAUCAUUCUCCCACAAUAUUUCCUAAUGUCAUUUGUACUAAAUCAUUCACUUGUACUCACUAAAGGAGAGCUUGAACCUAUGUACUUGUGUAAACCCUUCACAAUUAAUGAGAACUCUUCUAUUCCGUGGACGUAGCCAAUCUGGGUGAACCACGUACAUCUUGUGUUUGCUUUCCUAUCUCUAUCCAUUUAUAUACGUAUCCACACUAAUGACCGGAGCAAUCUAGCGAAGAUCACAAAAAGCGACCGUUUUCGCUACCUAGGAUCUAUCUUGCAAGAGAACGGAGAAUUAGAUGGAGAUCUCAACCAUAGAAUACGAGCUGGAUGGAUGAAGUGUAAGAGUGCAUCCGGCGUGUUGUGUGACCGUCGUAGGCCACUGAAGCUCAAGGGAAAAUUUUAUAGGACGGCAAUAAGGCCGCGAUGUUGUAUGGCACAGAAUGUUGGGCGGUGAAGCAUCAACACACGUACACAAAAUGGGUGUAGCGGAGAUGAGGAUGCUUCGUGGGAUGUGUGGGCACACACGAGAAAGGAUAAGAUUGGGAAUGAGAGGAUAUCCGAGGUAAAGUAGGAGUAGCCGAAAUUGUAGGAAAGAUGAGAGAAAAUCGGCUCCGGUGAUUUGGACAUGUGCAAAGAAGGCCGACUGACGCUCCGGUUCGAAGAUGUGACUACGGGACAGAGGUUCAGGGCCGAAGGGGUAGAGGAAGACCUAGGAAAACUUUGGAAGAGACUCUAAGAAAAGACUUAGAGUACUUGGAUCUAACGGAGGACAUGACACAAAACCGAGCGCAAUGGCGUUCUAGGAUUCAUAUAGCCGACCCCACUUAGUGGGAAAAGGCUUUGUUGUUGUUGUUGUUGUAGAUCUCCCUACCUAAGCAUGGAAAUUUUUUCUGAAAAGCCCAAACCAAACUGAAAAAAUCCCAAUCUCAUACCGAAAAAUUCUCAAACCAAUAGUACAGAAACUUUCCUUACCUGAG